AUACGAAGGGGGCUAGCGUUGUUCGGAAUUACUGGGCGUAAAGCGAGCGUAGGUCGCUUGGCAAGUCAGUGGUGAAAUCCCAGAGCUUAACUCUGGAACUGCCAUUGAAACUGCUGAGCUAGAAUCUCAGAGGGGAUAGCGGAAUUCCAAAUGUAGGGGUGAAAUCCGUAGAUAUUUGGAGGAACACCGGUGGCGAAGGCGGCUAUCUGGAUGAGUAUUGACACUGAGGCUCGAAAGCGUGGGGAUC
rnacentral:rRNA from 1 species